rnacentral:tRNA from 1 species
GGGCCGUUAGCUUAGCUGGUAGAGCAGGGGACUCUUAAUCCCAAGGUCGCAGGUUCAAUUCCUGCACGGCCCACCA